GUCAUAGUGAUCCGGUGGUUCUGAAUGGAAGGGCCAUCGCUCAACGGAUAAAAGGUACUCCGGGGAUAACAGGCUGAUACCGCCCAAGAGUUCAUAUCGACGGCGGUGUUUGGCACCUCGAUGUCGGCUCAUCACAUCCUGGGGCUGAAGUAGGUCCCAAGGGUAUGGCUGUUCGCCAUUUAAAGUGGUACGCGAGCUGGGUUUAGAACGUCGUGAGACAGUUCGGUCCCUAUCUGCCGUGGGCGCUGGAGAACUGAGGGGGGCUGCUCCUAGUACGAGAGGACCGGAGUGGACGCAUCACUGGUGUUCGGGUUGUCAUGCCAAUGGCACUGCCCGGUAGCUAAAUGCGGAAGAGAUAAGUGCUGAAAGCAUCUAAGCACGAAACUUGCCCCGAGAUGAGUUCUCCCUGAGACUUUAAGUCUCCUGAAGGAACGUUGAAGACGACGACGUUGAUAGGCCGGGUGUGUAAGCGCAGCGAUGCGUUGAGCUAACCGGUACUAAUGAACCGUGAGG
rnacentral:rRNA from 1 species